CACACACACAUGAUGGCUCAGUCAUAGUCUGCCAUGGCACCGUAUACAAGUAGGUACACACACAUGAUGUCAUAGUCUGCCAUGACACCGUAUACAAGUAGGUACACACACAUGAUGUCAUAGUCUGCCAUGACACCGUAUACAAGUAGGUACACACACACACACACAUGAUGGCUCAGUCAUAGUCUGCCAUGACACCGUAUACAAGUAGGUACACACACAUGAUGUCAUAGUCUGCCAUGACACCGUAUACAAGUAGGUACACACACACACAUGAUGGCUCAGUCAUAGUCUGCCAUGGCACCGUAUACAAGUAGGUACACACACACACACACACAUGAUGGCUCAGUCAUAGUCUGCCAUGACACCGUAUACAAGUAGGUACACACACA